rnacentral:lncRNA from 1 species
CUUCUCUCUCGUGAAAGAGUCUUCCUCUAGUGUCCCAAUUCAAAUCAACAAAUACUUAUUAAGUACCUCCACUGGCAAGUCACUAGGUAGGAUUGCCUAUCAGCAUUGCUCAGCCCUCUCAAGCAGGCAGCUGACUGUUCCUGUUAAGGGCAUUGCCAACCACAGAUUGGGUGCUGACUAUUUUGCAGCCAAUGAUUCAGGUAAAUUAUCUCCACAUGCUGUCAUGUGAGAAAGCUGCUGGGACACCAUGAGCCUCUUGUUGACCUUUCUCUUUUGCAGGGCUUUAUGUUGAACUCUGAAUGGUGGGAUGCUGAUUGGCUGCACGUUGCUGACUUCAUUAUCCAGCAUCUCUAGUUCAUCAGCCUCAGGUUGGUCCACCCUGCACUCACCUAACUGCCCUUUGAGACCUAAUGAGCAAUGAUUGUAUAGUUGAUCAGGUCGGGGGUGUGUUGCUUUUCCUUUAGCGUUGAGAGGUGAGUGGAGGAAUAUGAUCUGAUGGGUGGACACACUUAAUGAUCAGAAACAAAUUGCUAGGGCUUUUUGCUUCUGGGAGGUCCAACACUUUUCACUGAAAACUCCUGAUCCCUCAUCAGACAUUGGCAUGUCUACAAGUAGCCUACGCAGGUUCUUGCAGAGUCUUUCCUUCUCUUGAGUGGAGUGACACAGUUGAGGUUCAACGUUGAUGACGGUGACAUAGUUCACAGGGCAGAUUACCUCAGCUGGCUGAGAGUUGGCUGGUCACACCUGAAAGCAGUAGUCAUGUUCACUCUGAAGCAAGUGUAGCUGGACCCUGACUUCCCUGUCCUUUAUCAGUCAUCCUCUUUUAGUAAGUGUUAGAGUGUGUAUUCCACAUGCACUGGGACUGCAGCAGGCACAGC